GGUUCUAUGUUGUAAUGCUUAGCACUCUGGACUUUGAAUCCAGUGAUCCGAGUUCAAAUCUCAGUAGAACCU
rfam:Salmo salar isolate Sally breed double haploid chromosome ssa11, whole genome shotgun sequence.